rnacentral:sRNA from 1 species
UUUUAGCCCCGACAGCAGCGGCAUCCUUUUACUUUUUUCUUUAAAAAGUGAAAGAUAUAGCGGAUGGCGGAACCAAAC